AUACGUAGGGGGCGAGCGUUGUCCGGAAUGAUUGGGCGUAAAGGGCGCGUAGGCGGCCCGGUAAGUCUGGAGUGAAAGUCCUGUUUUUAAGAUGGGAAUUGCUUUGGAUACUGUCGGGCCUGAGUGCAGGAGAGGUCAGUGGAAUUCCCAGUGUAGCGGUGAAAUGCGUAGAGAUCGGGAGGAACACCAGUGGCGAAGGCGGGUAACUGGACUGCAACUGACGCUGAGGCGCGAAAGUGUGGGGAGCAAACAGGAUUAGAUACCCUGGUAGUCCACACUGUAAACGAUGAAUGCUAGGUGUAAGAGGUAUCGACCCCUUUUGUGCCGGAGUUAACACAAUAAGCAUUCCGCCUGGGGAGUACGGCCGCAAGGUUGAAACUUAAAGGAAUGGACGGGG
rnacentral:rRNA from 1 species